UGAGAGAGUAAAAAUAUCAUUUUCGAAAAAAAAAAAAAAAAAAAUUGAUGGCAUUUUCGUAAAUUAUAUGAACUUGUGGGGUGAAUAGGGCAAAACUAAUUUUCAAAAAAAAAGGAGGUUAGUUUUGUGUUUGACUUUAAGUUAUAGGUCAAUUCUGCAAAAAGCCCCUCAAAAAAACCUAAGAACUUGUUUUGUAAUUAUGAAACAAUAUAUUAGAAUGGCUGCAAUAACAUAACAAAGAAUUUUAAGAACCUAUGAAUCGGCCAAACAAAAAAUAAAAUUUAAUUGCAUAGCUACUAAGUAAUUGAAAGUUUUAUAGGAAUGUGUUAUGUGUUUGUUUUUUUCGUAUUACUAAUAUUUAAGAAUUGUUAAAGAUAAUAUAGAGGAUGAUUAUCUAUUUGAGGGGAUAAUGUUUAUCUUCUCUUUUGUCUUUUAGUUAAUAGUCGGUUUGAUGAACCGACUUUAGACUACUAUAAAUAGUGGAUCUUUGUAUGGUUUGAAUAAUAAUUAAGAAUCCAAGAAUAUAGUCAUUCUCUCUCUCGUUUCUAUUUUCCAAACGAACAAAUAAACAAUUACUUCUCUCUCGACUUAUAUUUCACAACACGUUAUCAGCACGAAUCUCUGACCAACUGAGGCUUAUCAAUCCGAAAGUUCUUAAACCAGCCGAGGGUACGGUUGCAAACUGGACGUCUUACGUUAGAACAUCCAAUGACAUAAAACUUUCAAAGUGGUGAGACUUGUUAAUGUAAAAUCUAAGAACAAGGUUUGGUUUUCGUAAAUAUGCAUUUCGCAUCAGUCCAUCCUCUCCACUAAUUGUUAAUAUUUGAUUAUGAUUUGUUAGGAAAAAAGUUUUUUUUUUUUUUGCAAACAGGAAGCUUUAUUUUAUAACUGAAAAAGUCUGAUAUGGUGGAGUUUAAAAACCUAAGGAAACCAAUGAUAUAAAAUUUUUGAAGUAGUCGGACUUGAUAAUGUCUGAAAAUGCAACGUAUAAAUCAUCAUGUCUUGUAACUUUGGUUCCCCUUGCUCUUUCGAUGUCACUCAAUUGGUGCCUUCUUUCCAGAGCACCCAUCUUCCUUAACUGGUGACUCCUCUCCUCUCCCUUCAAUUAACAGAGUCGAGUUGUGACCUGGAGCAGUUGCAUCAGCUAGUCCACCUUCAACCGCUUCAUCGCCAACACAGGUACCAUGAUCCACAGAGGUUUUUUUAACUCCAGGAACGUUGCUCUUUUUGACUGCUCCAGCACCUUACAUAUCAUCUCCCAGAUUGUUAUUCCUACCCUGUCAAAGUGCAUCCUAAUCUGUAAUUACCAACGUCAUAAAGUUGCACUGGACUAAAGUUUGUACAGAACUUUACCAGAACCUCCAAAUUAGACUGCGGUGGACGCUGAUUGGUUCCUAAAUGCGGGAAACAGUGAAGCUCUGAUGCUUUGCAGUCAAGUUGAAGUGGAAUAGGUUCAAUUGGAAGGUUAAAGUACUCCCAACAAUAUCUUGUGAACACUGUGGAAGCUCCCACUCCUGUGAGUUUUGGGCACCGACGUCCUUGAUUAGCAAAAAAAAAAGAGUUGUCAAUUCUCAAAAAUAAGCAACUAUAAAACUGUAAGUUGUAAACAAAUAUGUAUCAGAUACAACUGUAAACAAAUAUGUAUCAGAUACGGCUUCACCUGAUCAGGUUUGUUCUUUGGUA